GGCCAGUUAGUUCAGUUGGUUAGAGCGUGGUGCUAAUAAUGCCAAGGUCGCCGGUUUGAUCCCCAUACAGACCA
rnacentral:tRNA from 1 species